rnacentral:rRNA from 1 species
UACGUAGGGGGCGAGCGUUGUCCGGAUUUACUGGGCGUAAAACGCUUGUAGGCGGUCACGCCAAGUCGGAUGUGAAAUCUCCCGGCUUAACUGGGAGGGGUCAUUCGAUACUGGCGGACUCGAGGCAGGUAGGGGGAAGCGGAAUUCCCGGUGUAGUGGUGGAAUGCGUAGAUAUCGGGAGGAACACCAGUGGCGGAGGCGGCUUCCUGGACCUGUUCUGACGCUGAGGAGCGAAAGCGUGGGGAGCGAUCCGG